AAGCUUUGGGAAAGUGGCGACAGACAGCCAAAGUUUCCCUCAGAGCCAGAUCUCCAGAUCUGCCUUGCACAGACAGACAUUAGGUGGGCUGGUCCCACGGAGUCUCCACCAUCAUUACAAAUUACAAACCACGAUAAAGCGCCUUCGCGGGAGGACGGGGAAGCUUCCACACCCACCCCACCACCUCCGUCCUUUCCAGACAGCGCUUCCUGGUCCCAAACCGCACAAACCACCCACAACCACGGUGAUAAGCAGAGCGGUGACAUACACACGCACAAGCCACACACUGGGAACCUGCCACGACAGCCGGGGAAAAACCGGCCGGGUGAGGAGACGCAAGGCGGCCCCCUGUCACUUGAGGACAACAACACGCCCAGCAGAGAAGUGGCAGGAGACUGGGGGAGUUGCCCCGAAAACGAGCCCGGAGCCUCCCCAGUUUCCUGGGAACGCAACCCCUCGGUGGCCGCGAGCGGCGGGCCGCCGACGCGGCGCCGGGUCCGGGGGGGCCCGCUGAGGGAAGCGCCCCCCACAGGCCGGGCGCCCCGGAGCGCCCCCGGCCGGCCCGGCCCCGCCUCAGGAAGGUCGCUCCCCGCCGAGGCCUCUUCCCGCCCGUCCCCACUCACCGCCGGUGUGUCUGGUUCUCAGCCGCGAGCUGGGGCUGCCGUGAGGAGGCGGCGGAGGAGACGAGAUCCGGGGCCCCGCCGCCGGGUCAUCAUACCCCCCGCGCGAGCCGGCUCGGGCCCCGGCCCCCGCCCCCCGGAGCCGUCCCCGCGCCCGUCCCGCGGGGGGAGCCCCCUCAGCCUCCCGCCCGCUCCGCCGCCCGGCCCCUUGCCGCCGCCGCCGCCUCAGCCCCGCGCGCUCCCGCCUCGGCCUCCCGCUGCCGUCCGGGGCCACCUCCAGGCCCCUCGCUCCGCAGCCGCCGUUGUCGCCAGACCCGAUGAGCUGAGCGCCGAGCGGCCGCCCCCAUCCGGCCUGCCCCGCCUCGCGGGAACUCUUCACCCGCCCCGCGCCAUGACACCUACUGAGGCGGAAGUGCCGAAGAGCGGGCCGAUGAGGACUACCGCAUAG
rnacentral:lncRNA from 1 species